CCUACAUGAAGCUGGAGUUACUAGUAAUCGCAGAUCAGAAUGCUGCGGUGAAUGCGUUCCCGGGUCUUGUACACACCGCCCGUCACACCACGGGAGUUGGAGACGCCCGAAGCCGAUUAUCUAACCUGUUGGAAGAAGUCGUCGAAGGUGGAAUCAAUAACUGGGGUGAAGUCGUAACAAGGUAGCCGUAUCGGAAGGUGCGGCUGGAGCAC
rnacentral:rRNA from 1 species